GCCCUGAGCUAGUAUAGAAUGUGCAAAGAUGGAUCUGACUCAAUCCCCACCCUUGAGGAGCCCAGUCGUAUGGGGAAGACAGAGAGAACAAGGGAAGAAAAUGCACCCAGAAGUUCCCCACAAGGAGACACCUCAUGUUACAUCAGUCUGCCUGUUCUAGGCCUGGGAUUUCCACGUUAUACUCUUUUUUCUUUCACUGUUAAUCUACAGCUAUAAAUGAAAUUGGAAAAUUCACCAUCAAGAACCCAUAGAGGGAGA
rnacentral:lncRNA from 1 species